GCCGAGGUGGCGGAAUUGGUAGACGCGCUAGAUUCAGGUUCUAGUAUGGGAAACCAUGUGGAGGUUCAAGUCCUCUUCUCGGCACCA
rnacentral:tRNA from 2 species